rnacentral:tRNA from 1 species
AUAAGAAAAGGAAUUAAACCUCUAUUAAUAGGAUACAGCCUACCGCCUAAACAUUCGACCACCUUACCUGU